CAGGACGAACGCUGGCGGCGUGCUUAACACAUGCAAGUCGAGCGAUGAAGCUCUUCGGAAGUGGAUUAGCGGCGGACGGGUGAGUAACACGUGGGUAACCUGCCUCAUAGAGGGGAAUAGCCUUCCGAAAGGAAGAUUAAUACCGCAUAAGAUUGUAAUAUCGCAUGAUAUAGCAAUUAAAGGAGCAAUCCACUAUGAGAUGGACCCCGCGUCGCAUUAGCUAGUUGGUGAGGUAACGGCUCACCAAGGCGACGAUGCGUAGCCGACCUGAGAGGGUGAUCGGCCACAUUGGGACUGAGACACGGCCCAGACUCCUACGGGAGGCAGCAGUGGGGAAUAUUGCACAAUGGGGGAAACCCUGAUGCAGCCAACGCCGCGUGAGUGAUGACGGUCUUCGGAUUGUAAAGCUCUGUCUUCAGGGACGAUAAUGACGGUACCUGAGGAGGAAGCCACGGCUAACUACGUGCCAGCCGCUGC
rnacentral:rRNA from 1 species